rnacentral:lncRNA from 1 species
CCCCCGGCGGACCGAAACCGGCCAAACCGGCAAAACCGCCCCGAUCAUGCCCGUUUUUCGGCGUUCAAACCGCCGCGCGGCUACCCCCCCAUCCCGAUGCCCCCGGACCCCUGGUCCCGUGGGACCCGACGGAAACGGAAUCGGAGGCCCGGAUCAUGAGUUACGGCCCCUUCUUUGCGGCCCCCGAGGACGUGUGCUAUAGCCCCCCGGGCCACCCCCCAUCCGGCCGCACCCGCCCGAACCCCACCGAACGCGUCCGCCGCCUCCCGAUCCCGCCCCGCGGUCCCCCCCGGGGCAUGAACCGCCCCCCGGCGGGCCGAAACCGGCCAAACCGGCAAAAACGCCCCGAUCAUGCCCGUUUUUCGGCGUUCAAACCGCCGCGCGGCUACCCCCCCAUCCCGAUGCCCCCGGACCCCUGGUCCCGUGGGACCUGACGGAAACGGAAUCGGAUGCCCGGAUCAUGAGAUACGCCCAAAACCGUCUAAACCUACUGAGCGCACCCCGAACAUGCCCAUUUUUCGGCGUUCAAACCGCCGCGCGGCUACCCCCCCAUCCCGAUGCCCCCGGAACCCUGGUCCCGCGGGACCCGACGGAAACGGAAUCGGAGGCCCGGAUCAUGAGUUACGGCCCCUUUUUGCGGCCCCCGAGGACGUGCGCUAUAGCCCCCCGGGCCACCCCCCAUCCGGCCGCACCCGCCCGAACCCCACCGAACGCGUCCGCCGCCUCCCGAUCCCGCCCCGCGGUCCCCCCCGGGGCAUGAACCGCCCCCCGGCGGGCCGAAACCGGCCAAACCGGCAAAACCGCCCCGAUCAUGCCCGUUUUUCGGCGUUCAAACCGCCGCGCGGCUACCCCCCCAUCCCGAUGCCCCCGGACCCCUGGUCCCGUGGGACCUGACGGAAACGGAAUCGGAUGCCCGGAUCAUGAGAUACGCCAAAAACCGUCUAAACCUACUGAGCGCACCCCGAACACGCCCAUUUUUCGGCGUUCAAACCGCCGCGCGGCUACCCCCCCAUCCCGAUGCCCCCGGAACCCUGGUCCCGCGGGACACGACGGAAACGGAAUCGGAGGCCCGGAUCAUGAGUUACGGCCCCUUCUUUGCGGCCCCCGAGGACGUGCGCUAUAGCCCCCCGGGCCACCCCCCAUCCGGUCGCACCCGCCCGAACCCAAGCGAACUCGUCCGCCGCCUCCCGAUCCCGCCCCGCGGUCCCCCCCGGGGCAUGAACCGCCCCCCGGCGGGCCGAAACCGGCUAAACCGCCCCGAUCAUGCCCAUUUUUCGGCGUUCAAACCGCCGCACGGCUACCCCCCCAUCCCGAUGCCCCCGGACCCCUGGUCCCGUGGGACCUGACGGAAACGGAAUCGGAUGCUCGGAUCAUGAGAUACGCCCAAAACCGUCUAAACCUACUGAGCGCACCCCGAACAUGCCCAUUUUUCGGCUUUCAAACCGCCGCGCGGCUACCCCACCAUCCCGAUGCCCCCGGAACCCUGGUCCCGCGGGACCCGACGGAAACGGAAUCGGAGGCCCGGAUCAUGAGUUACGGCCCGUUCUUUGCGGCCCCCGAGGACGUGCGCUAUAGCCCCCCGGGCCACCCCCCAUCCGGCCGCACCCGCCCGAACCCCACCGAACGCGUCCGCCGCCUCCCGAUCCCGCCCCGCGGUCCCCCCCGGGACAUGAACGGCCCCCCGGCGGGCCGAAACCGGCCAAACCGGCAAAACCGCCCCGAUCAUGCCCGUUUUUCGACGUUCAAACCGCCGCGCGGCUACCCCCCCAUCCCGAUGCCCCCGGACCCCUGGUCCCGUGGGACCUGACGGAAACGGAAUCGGAUGCUCGGAUCAUGAGAUGCGCCCAAAACCGUCUAAACCUACUGAGCGCACCCCGAACAUGCCCAUUUUACGGCGUUCAAACCGCCGCGCGGCUACCCCCCCAUCCCGAUGCCCCCGGAACCCUGGUCCCGCGGGACCCGACGGAAACGGAAUCGGAGGCCCGGAUCAUGAGUUACGGCCCCUUCUUUGCGGCCCCCGAGGACGUGCGCUAUAGCCCCCCGGGCCACCCCCCAUCCGGCCGCACCCGCCCGAACCCCACCGAACGCGUCCGCCGCCUCCCGAUCCCGCCCCGCGGUCCCCCCCGGGGCAUGAACCGCCCCCCGGCGGGCCGAAACCGGCCAAACCGGCCAAACCGCCCCGAUCAUUCCCAUUUUUCGGCGUUCAAACCGCCGCACGGCUACCCCCCCAUCCCGAUGCCCCCGGACCCCUGGUCCCCUGGGACCUGACGGAAACGGAAUCGGAUGCCCGGAUCAUGAGAUACGCCCAAAACCGUCUAAACCUACUGAGCGCACCCCGAACAUGCCCAUUUUUCGGCGUUCAAACCGCCGCGCGGCUACCCCCCCAUCCCGAUGCCCCCGGAACCCUGGUCCCGCGGGACCCGACGGAAACGGAAUCGGAGGCCCGGAUCAUGAGUUACGGCCCCUUCUUUGCGGCCCCCGAGGACGUGCGCUAUAGCCCCCCGGGCCACCCCCCAUCCGGCCGCACCCGCCCGAACCCCACCGAACGCGUCCGCCGCCUCCCGAUCCCGCCCCGCGGUCCCCCCCGGGGCAUGAACCGCCCCCCGGCGGGCCGAAACCGGCCAAACCGGCAAAACCGCCCCGAUCAUGCCCGUUUUUCGGCUUUCAAACCGCCGCGCGGCUACCCCCCCAUCCCGAUGCCCCCGGACCCCUGGUCCCGUGGGACCUGACGGAAACGGAAUCGGAUGCCCGGAUCAUGAGAUACGCCCAAAACCGUCNN